UAAAAACCCCGACUUCGGAAGGGGUGUAUUUAUUAGAUACAAAACCAAUGCCCUUCGGGGCUCUUUGGUGAUUCAUGAUAACUAUACGAAUCGCACGGCCUUGCGCCGGCGAUGGUUCAUUCAAAUUUCUUCCCUAUCAACUUUCGAUGUUUGGGUAUUGGCCAAACAUGGUUGCAACGGGUAACGGAGGGUUAGGGCUCGACCCCGGAGAAGGAGCCUGAGAAACGGCUACUACAUCCAAGGAAGGCAGCAGGCGCGCAAAUUACCCAAUCCCGACUCGGGGAGGUAGUGACAAUAAAUACUGAUACAGGGCCCUUUCGGGCCUUGUAAUUGGAAUGAGUACAAUUUAAAUCCCUUAACGAGGAACAAUUGGAGGGCAAGUCUGGUGCCAGCAGCCGCGGUAAUUCCAGCUCCAAUAGCGUAUAUUAAAGUUGUUGUGGAAAAAAGCUCGAAGUUAAACCUAGGGCCUGGCUGGAUAGUCCGCCUCAACGCGAGAACUGGUAAAGACGGGCAUUUGCACAAGGGAAAACACAAACAAUUAAAGAUAAAUGCUUGUGUAACCGGACGAUCUCUUUG
rnacentral:rRNA from 1 species